GGCAACAGCUCAAAUUUGAAAUCUGGCCCCCUCGGGGCCCGAGUUGUAAUUUGUAGAGGAUGUUUCGGGUGUGGCUCCGGUCUAAGUUCCUUGGAACAGGACGUCAUAGAGGGUGAGAAUCCCGUAUGUGACUGGCAGCCUACGCCCAUGUGAAACUCCUUCGACGAGUCGAGUUGUUUGGGAAUGCAGCUCAAAAUGGGUGGUAAAUUUCAUCUAAAGCUAAAUAUUGGCCAGAGACCGAUAGCGCACAAGUAGAGUGAUCGAAAGAUGAAAAGCACUUUGGAAAGAGAGUUAAACAGUACGUGAAAUUGUUGAAAGGGAAGCGCUUGCAACCAGACUUGCGUGCGGCCGAUCAUCCGGUGUUCUCACCGGUGCACUCGGUCGUGCUCAGGCCAGCAUCGGUUUCGGCGGCUGGAUAAAGGCCAUGGGAAUGUAGCUCCUCUCGGGGAGUGUUAUAGCCCGUGGUGCAAUGCAGCCCGCUGGGACCGAGGACCGCGCUUCGGCUAGGAUGCUGGCGUAAUGGUUGUAAGCGACCCGUCUUGAAACACGGACCAAGGAGUCUAACAUCUAUGCGAGUGUUUGGGUGUCAAACCCAUACGCGGAAUGAAAGUGAACGGAGGUGAGAACCCUUAAGGGUGCAUCAUCGACCGAUCCUGAUGUCUUCGGAUGGAUUUGAGUAAGAGCAUAGCUGUUGGGACCCGAAAGAUGGUGAACUAUGCCUGAAUAGGGUGAAGCCAGAGGAAACUCUGGUGGAGGCUCGCAGCGGUUCUGACGUGCAAAUCGA
rnacentral:rRNA from 1 species